UACGUAGGGUCCGAGCGUUGUCCGGAAUUAUUGGGCGUAAAGGGCUCGUAGGCGGUUCGUCACGUCGGGAGUGAAAACUCGGAGCUUAACUCCGAGCCUGCUUCCGAUACGGGCAGACUAGAGGUAGGCAGGGGAGAGCGGAACUCCUGGUGUAGCGGUGGAAUGCGCAGAUAUCAGGAAGAACACCGGUGGCGAAGGCGGCUCCUGGUCCAGCAUCGACGUUCAGGCACGAAAGCGUGGGGAGCAAACAGG
rnacentral:rRNA from 1 species